UUCCGGUUGAUCCUGCCGGACCUGACUGCUAUCGGAUUGAUACUAAGCCAUGCUAGUCUUUGUAGUAAUACAAGGCAUACGGCUCAGUAACGCGUAGUCAACCUACCCUAUGGACGGGGAUAAUCUCGGGAAACUGAGCAUAAUACCCGGCAGACCACUUAUCCUGGAAUGGUUAGUGGUUAAAAUGAUUCGUCGCCAUAGGAUGGGACUGCGGCCUAUCAGCUUGUUGGUGAGGUAAUGGCCCACCAAGGCGAUUACAGGUACGGGCUCUGAGAGGAGAAGCCCGGAGAUGGGUACUGAGACAAGGACCCAGGCCCUAUGGGGCGCAGCAGGCGAGAAAACUUUGCAAUGUGCGAAAGCACGACAAGGUUAAUCCGAGUGAUUUCUGCUAAAGGAAUCUUUUGUUAGUUCUAAAAAUACUAGUGAAUAAGGGGUGGGCAAGUUCUGGUGUCAGCCGCCGCGGUAAAACCAGCACCUCAAGUGGUCAGGAGGAUUAUUGGGCCUAAAGCAUCCGUAGCCUGUUCUAUAAGUUUGCGGUUAAAUCUAUACGCUCAACGUAUAGGCUGCCGUAAAUACUGUAGAACUAGGGAGUGGGAGAGGUAGACGGUACUCGAUAGGAAGGGGUAAAAUCCUUUGAUCUAUUGAUGACCACCUGUGGCGAAGGCG
rnacentral:rRNA from 1 species